rnacentral:rRNA from 1 species
UACGGAGGGUGCAAGCGUUAUCCGGAUUCACUGGGUUUAAAGGGUGCGUAGGCGGGUUUUUAAGUCAGGGGUGAAAUCCUGGAGCUCAACUCCAGAACUGCCUUUGAUACUGGCGACCUUGAGUCCGGGAGAGGUGAGUGGAACUGCGAGUGUAGAGGUGAAAUUCGUAGAUAUUCGCAAGAACACCAGUGGCGAAGGCGGCUCACUGGCCCGGUACUGACGCUGAGGUGCGAAAGCGUGGGGAGCAAACAGG